CACUGGCUGGAGCUGUGAUUGGGGACCUCGGUCAUGUGACCAUCCAGGAAGAGACCGAGCCACCGCGUCAGGAAACAUUAACACUGGCUGGCCAUCGAAUGCAUCCCGGACCUGCGGGACCCGCAUCCAGGGAGGAGAUUACAGCACUGACCAGAGGAAGCCUGGCCGUAUACCUGGGGAGAGGGGCGCAGACCUGAGUCCCCUGUCCGCCGCCAGCCACCAGCAGCCCACCGCUCACCGCUGCCAAGCCACCAGCAACAAAUGAGGAAACACUGAAACAUGAGAAAUUACUUACAAUCAUGUUUGCAAACACACCUGUGAACAGUGAAAACUGGAAGAGAAUCUGAUCUACACCAGGGAAAGUUUUUAAAGAAAGUGACAGCAAGACCACCCAAGCCAAUCACAUCAGGAUGGGAAGUCAACAACCAAUUUCUGCAGAUGCGUACCAGCCAAUAAGAUAAAAUCCACAAUGUAAUGAUUAGCCCUAUACCUAUUUCAAGUUUGUCGACACUUAGAUUUCUUUUUUACUAUUGGUAAAGGGGGGGGGGGGGGUGUUCUGGGCAACUGGAAAGCCCCCUUAAGUGUGUGAUUGUGGGGCACACCCAUGAAUGAAGAGCACUGUGACCACCCUCACUUUUUCAGCUGGGAUCCCAUGCUUCUGAGGAAGGACGUAUGUCCGAAAGCGCUUAAGCAGGGAGAUUGGGUGGACGAGAACCUGUGGAUUGGAGCUGCCAUUUCGAGCUGCUGGAGACAUUUGGACUUUGGGACUUUGCGGUGACUAUGCCCUAGAGUUUUCUCUUGCUAGCAGUCCAUGCCACAGGAAUAUCCUCGAUGUGUUUUAUGCUGUUUUUUAUCUGAUGUCUGUGAGUGUAUUUUAUUAAAUACGUGUUUUAAGAAUUUAAA